rnacentral:misc_RNA from 1 species
CACGGCGGCGGCGGCAGCA